GGUCUGAUGGUCUAGUGGUAGGAUUCUCGCUUUGGGCCCUUAAAAGGUUUCUCUUGCACAGUGUCCUGUGUAAAAAUGCGAGAGGUCCCGGGUUCGAUCCCCGGUCAGACCC